UAAUCUUCUUCCUCGUAAUGUUCCUUCCCUUUGUGAAACUCUCAGUUCUUCCUUGUGAUUGGUGUUCCUCCAUGGAUUCAAACUCCUUUCUGCAGCUUCAAAAGGUGAAUGGACCAUGGACCAGUUCUCAGUUCCUGUUGGGGUGUUUUGUCAAAUAACUUUGUUAAAAUCGCCAGUAUGAAGCAGAGAAUAAUAUGUGUUUCAAAAUGUUCCACCUGUGGUUUGACAAUAGUUGUUGCUCUUUGGAUUCUGUUCUGAUAGUCCUUUUUCUAAGCUGUCCUAGCCAAAGCUAGG